rnacentral:pre_miRNA from 1 species
CCUCUGUUACCCGUAGAUCCGAACUUGUGCCUGAUUUUCAACCGUGUACGAGUUUGCCUCUCCGGGUGCCAGAUGG